UUGGUCCUUCCGUGUCGCCGUACAUUCAUAGGAAGUCGUAUAGCGGUUGCUAGGACAACAUUGUUUAGCUUCGCUAGAGAACAAUGUGCUAUACGAGUAAAUAUCUGGUUUAAUUAAAUGAAAGAAAUCUCCUGAUAACGGAAAACCUGAUCAUUACACUGGGAAUGCAGGGACAGUAUAAUGGCUGUUCCUGUGUGGGCUCUCUCUCUCCCGCUGCCUGCCAUCGUCAUGAUCUCUGUGGGGAUCUAUAUGAUUGUCCUUGCGGCUGUGCUGUGGUGUCAUCACUGUCUCAAGGCCAAGUGUGAUCCACAGUGUUCAGAUUGCUGUGUAGGUUUCUCUCCUUGUGAGUACUGUUUAGUGUGUGCCCAGUCAUGUGACUGUCGCCCCCCCUCUCUGCGAUCCUGCCUGGACUACUCCUGCCCCUCCCCUAAUUGUGCGAUGUGGGAUUGUGCUUGUACCUGUCAACCACCAGAGUGUGACUCCAUCAACUGCUUUUGCUUUGAGAUCAAGUUUAAGUAGAAGGAAUGGUGGAGGGAAAGCGAUGCCUUAAAAGAUGCCUUAGAAACUCCAACUCCAAGUGACACUUAAGUAUGUUUUAAGCUAGAGAGAAAAACUGUAAUUCAAUCUUUGGUUGUUCUGUAAUGUUUGCAUCAUUUGGGAGACAUUACAGUAUCCUUCCUAUUCACGCUCAUUGAUUUAACCAAAAUGAACCUUUAAAAACUUGGUUCUAAAAGAUUUAGAUGUGCAUUUAUUGGGAAUAUACAUCGCUUAAUUGAGUCAUGUAUGGAUGUGAUGAGCAAGAUUAAUAAAUUCUUAAACAUAAUAUAUACUAUAAACACAGUACUAUAUUUAAGUCAUAUUGUGAUACCAGUAAUUCCUGAAAUACAUAAUCACUACAGAACAAUGGAAGACUGAAGCUAUGGUAAAGGUUUUAUUUUUGCAUGAAUGAAUUUGUAGCAUAAGGGUUUAAGCUGUGUCAUGGAUUUUUAAAGCAUGACAUUUAAUGGAAUUUUACAUUUCAGCACAGAAGGACAUUUUUUUUUUGUCAUUUCUAGUUUCCUGGUCAGCAAUAAUUAAUUAUGCUUUGUAUAGCCAAUGUGUUUCUCUGUGGUAUCAUUUUACUUGGUAUGAUGGACAUUUGUGCUUCAGUUAUGAGCCAAACAAAGAGAAGAGAGGAAUCUAUAAACCACACAUGCUGUUAAAUGUAUCUCAUUCUGACACAGAUGUCUUUGAACACAGAUGUGGACUGUAUGUUCACAUAUAUGUAUAUAAGAUACUGGUUCAUAUACUUAUAGUGACUUACCAAUUUUAGAUUGUUAAAACUUUUUUAUUCAUACUGUAAUACUGUUUACUAAUCUAAUUGUUUACAGGACAUCAUCUUGAUUGUUGCAUAUGAAAUAUGACCUAACUAUGUGUGCAUAAUGUAUAAUGUGAAAUAUGGUACAGUUAUGUAUGUGGCCAUAUUACAGCAGCAUACUAUGACUUACAAAGUAAACGUGCUGCGACUCAGUCACUUCUGUCUCUGUUGUCAGGCAAAACUUAAGUUGAAAUUAGUUUUUUGUAUAGAUUUUUUUAAUAUAAAUAUGUGCUAUUUUUGUAACUGUGUUGUUUUAAAAUGAAUUAAAGAUUUUUUUCAUGCAAAAAG